CGUGGGAUCUUCACGAACCCGUGUCCCCUGCAUCGGCAGGCAGACUCUAGGAUAAUACAAGUAAAGCAUUUAACGUCGUGCUCUCAUCACAAAAGUCCUCGAUAAAUGUUAUGUAUUGAAAUGUUAUCCUCGAUAAAUGUUAUGUAUUGAAAUGUUAUAUAUUGGUUUUUAAAGCUGUAACUUGUGGGUACGUUACCUAGUCUGGGGAAGCUAGAGUUGGUUAAAACUUCCUGCUGCAGUUUGCUUGUUACUUCCUCUUCGGAAGCCUUCCCUGAUGCCUGCAGGCUGGGUAGCAGCGCCUCCGCUGUGAUUCCCACGAAGCCCUGGCUGUUCCUCUCUCUACUCACCUCUCUACUCACUUAACCCAUCGGAUAUGGAUUAUCCUGAGGUUUAUACAUUCUACCGGACUGUCCACUCCUUGAGCGUAAAGAGCCCGUUAUAAAACUCAGUAUUUAGCACACCGAAACCACACAGUAGCCAUGGGCACACAGUGGAAGUUGACAGAGAAGAUGAUAGCGAGUGUGAAAAGAAGACCCGCGGGAUCUCUGCUUAUAGCUUAAGGCGCCACUCGAUGGAGUUCAGGCCAUUCUCCAUGGGCAGCGAGAUGUUGCAGCGCCCGAUGGUGGGGGUGAUGGUGCCCGCUAGGACGUGGGGCUCGCUGUGGAAGCUGACGCCCAUCCCGUUGGCGUACAUCACCCGCAGGGUACCGUUGUUGCAGAGCUGGUAGCUGUUCCGUACUUGAUCUGGAGAAAUGUCAGCUCCACUGCAAAGAUUCUUUGAGAAAACAAAGAGAAAAAGCAACCUUCCUGCCCCUCAUGCGUUAGCUGCUGACUGACUCCACCAUGAUGCCAUCUCCACUCCAGAGGACUCCGAAGAGACUCAACUAGCAUGAAGGAGGCCGAGCCAGGGGGUGCUGAUAACGUGUGUGUCUUCCCAAAUGGAAUCUACACUAGUCAAUCAAUCAGUCAGACUUCUGACCUUUUCCUUUAUCGAGAAGUUCCAGUGGGAAAUGUGAGUCGGAGGCUCCUUUUAUAGAUACGAUGCUUCCUGGCUACCUGGGCAGAGGAGUCCACCUGGCCUCUGAGGCCCUGGCUUUUGGGGUAGUGCGCAAGUGUGCACCUGUCACGACUGCAGCCCUCGUGCAGAAAGACAAAGUCUACAUCGUUAAUCAUCUGGCAGAGCAGAAAUAGAGGCAUGGAAACAGGCUCUGUCGGGGGAUAAACAGUCCAGCAAUGACACCGUUUAUCUAGCGCCAGGACACGUUUAUCCUCGGCUAGCCCACGGACAUUAUAUCUUCAUUACCUGCACAAUUCCUUUUCUUGCCAGCCUGUGCACUUGUCCUGGACUGUACGUCAUGUCGAACAGCAAGAGCAACCACCCACGAGGUGGUGAGAAACCUUUGAGGUCUUGGCAAGAGACCGCUAAAGGGCUCUGUGACUGUAACAACCCACUCAUCACACAAACCCUUGGAAGAAAGGGAGACUCAGAAUGGGACCAAAAAAUCAGGUGGGCUCAAGAGACUAAAACCACCUUUGAGAAGGUAACUGUGUGUGUUGGGUUGGUGAUGGAGAGGUGGGGGCAGAGUACAGAGGGAUGAAAGCUGGCAUUUUCACAUAAAUAUAAAUACGUAGACAUUUCCAAAUAUUUGGUUUGGUAUAGAUGACAUUCUCCUGCAUCUGAUUAAGUCCUUUUCUACAAGAUUGACCUCUUGCAGAGUUAGUUUGCUAGCUAUGGACUAAAACAGCAAGCUGAGGGGUGGGAGGUCUCUGGAAGUCCUCCCAGGCUUGGUAACUCACACCUAUCCUCUGGCCUUGGCUGAGUCUGGCGGUGAGGGGUGGUGGUAGGUGAGGGGCUUACCUUGCACCACUGUGUAGGAGGCCUCCACAGAAGACAGGUUGGUAAUGACAGUGACAUCGUCAUCACGGUUGGAGUUCUCAAUGUCAAUGGUGAUGGACUUCUCCAUUUCCCGGUGUAGGCUGGUCACCACCCCCGUGGGGCGUGUCACAUUGGUUAGGCGGCCCUCGUGGUCAUAGCUGGAGAACAGACACACUGGUUAGAAACACAGUUCCUGGGACUGAAGGCGUCCCCAAGGGACAGACUCAUGGUGCCAGAGAAAGAAACUGGCAGGUGCGGUGGCCAGGUGGUGCAGCACGCUGAGGCUCCUCGGCACAGUCAUCAAAACUCCAGCC